AAUCCAGUGUAGAAAAUACUGGAACAUAUGUAUAAAUUGAAAUCAGACUUGAUUAAAGACACACAUAUUGUGAAAUAAAAGGUAGAUCAUUCUUAUACUGCAUAGCUGGCAAUCAGAAAAGGAAGAUGGAGCUGCUUAUCCUUUUUUCUUCAGUCUUUGACUGCUGGGCAGAAAAGCUGAGUCAUAUUAACUGACUGUUGGCAGGUAAAAUAGAUUGGAAGCCAGUUCCAUGAUAUAUGUAAAGUGAAAUUAAUCUUCACAGAAACUGUAUUUUGGUUUUCGACAACACUUUGACAUAAUGGUGAAGAAUUUAGACUGCUUUAAGCUACAUUUGUCCUACUGUUUAUGUAAAUCCUUUAUUGCAACAGUGUUUUCUCAGGAAUAAUUUUUAAGGCUUUUGUUUUUAAAUUUGUCUGAGGUGAACUGAAGCAAAUCUGACACUUUCAAGGGGAUUGACCUGGCAAGGAGGCCAGGAACACCAGGAAAAUGGCAAGUGCUUUGCAGGGCUUGUGGCCCAAACUGGCACUUAGCAUUUUCCAAGCUACUGAGUAAUACUGGGAGCUGGAGUCCUCAAGUGCUCUGAAAAAGAAGAAUUCCUUCAGGGGAAUGUGCAUUUUGCAAUUAGACACUGAGAAAUCUUUUGGCUACAUGUGGGGGACAUUUUGAAUGAAGUGUACUUCCAAAAGAGUGGAUUGACUUUCACUGAAGAACCUGUCAAUAAAGAAAAAAUACUUAUAGCUGAAAUAAGGGUAGUUUUCUUACCUCUGCCAAAUGAAUUCCUAGCUGGAGAGUGGUCUAAUACAUUCUGAGAACAGCAGCAUUUCCUCCUUCAGAAAUAAUUUUACUACUCUAUAACAUACCAGCAUCCUGGCAACCUUCCUAAACCUGUGUGGAGGUGGAUGUGGGAGCUAUUUUGUUUUAAGGUAACCUUUCCCCUGUGUUCCUGUAAGUCUUGAAAACUAUGGACCUUUCAUAGGCAGUGCCUUCUUAGCAGAGACUCUAG
rnacentral:lncRNA from 1 species